rnacentral:rRNA from 1 species
UACGGAGGGUGCAAGCGUUAUCCGGAUUCAUUGGGUUUAAAGGGAGCGUAGGUGGCCUUAUAAGUCAGUGGUGAAAUCUCUGGGCUUAACCCAGAAAUUGCCAUUGAUACUGUAGGGCUUGAGUACAGUUGCUGUGGCGGAAUAUGACAUGUAGUGGUGAAUACAUAGAGAUGUCAUAGAACACCGAUUGCGAAGGCAGCUCACAACUGUAACUGACACUGAGGCUCGAAGUGCGGAUCAACAGG